GACGAACGCUGGCGGCGUGCUUAACACAUGCAAGUCGAGCGGAAAGGCCCUUCGGGGUACUCGAGCGGCGAACGGGUGAGUAACACGUGAGUAACCUGCCCCAGACUUUGGGAUAACCCUCGGAAACGGGGGCUAAUACCGGAUACGACACAGCUUCGCAUGGGGUCUGUGUGGAAAGUUUUUCGGUUUGGGAUGGGCUCGCGGCCUAUCAGCUUGUUGGUGGGGUGAUGGCCUACCAAGGCGACGACGGGUAGCCGGCCUGAGAGGGCGACCGACCACACUGGGACUGAGACACGGCCCAGACUCCUACGGGAGGCAGCAGUGGGGAAUAUUGCACAAUGGGCGGAAGCCUGAUGCAGCGACGCCGCGUGAGGGAUGACGGCCUUCGGGUUGUAAACCUCUUUCAGCAGGGACGAAGCGUAAGUGACGGUACCUGCAGAAGAAGCGCCGGCCAACUACGUG
rnacentral:rRNA from 1 species